UCUGAAGACUACAUUCUGACUGAGAACGUAUGCCGUUUUCAUUAAGAAUUUUAGCCAGGAGAAUUGAAACUGCCUCAUCAACACAGUGCACCCAUCUGCACAGCACAUGGACGGGGGAAGAAGACAUGUUUGGAUGUCUGAGUGGUGUCCCACAAUGGAGAUCAGAUUGCGUUCCUCAUGCAUGACCCAGAAGCAGGGGGAGGCCCAGCUGCUCCCCUGGCACUGCUAACGGCACAACCAGGGCCAGGUCCCCACCUCCCGCUGCAGGAGAUGCAGAGCACCUGGGGGUUGGCCCCUAAAAACAGCCACUGUGGUACCCACAGAGCCAUCUCUGCCUCCCCAGCCCCUAUGGCUGCUUCUGAAGCCCACCAGAGUAAACUAUUUCUCUGUAAGUACAAAUCAAGUUCAUUUUGUGCAGUGUGUUGGAGGACCAUUCCUUCUCUGUGAAUACACAAAGAAGCCAAAAUUAAGUUUGCCACUGGUCUGUCAGGUAUGGGCUCCUGCUCCUGGCUGAGAGCAACAGCUGAACUCCGGACAAUAGUGAAAAUCUCCCAGGUAAAUGUGUAAUGUUGAAUGUGGAACUGGGGAGUUGGCUUUAGUCCUCACCUGUGGCAUAAGGAUUACUGUGAGAGUAAGUAAACGAUGGUCUAUUAUUAUUCUACCUUUUACAUUCUAUUUAAAUUCAAAUUGAAUGUCCUUUAUCAAAAAAAAAGAGAGGUAUUUCCUACUCUGCACUCCCCAUCCCCCUUACACAACCAAGGACAUUUUUAAAACUUAAGGGCAAAUGUUCCAUAAAACACUGCCCAACCCUUUGCAAAUUCCCUGCAUAACUCUCACAUGCAUCCUCUAACUUCAGUCCAUCCCUACUCCAAAGUUGUAAUUUGCCCUCCAGUCCUUUUCUCUCUCUCCCUCUCUCUUUUAAAACAAUCUUUGAGAUGGCAAUUAGCUCAAGAGAAGCACUUAGAGCUUUGCUUCAAUUACAGAUCCUUCCAUCUCAAGUUAUAUGUUUGGCUGUUUUAUGCUAAUUUGAAUGUCGUUUUGCAUGAAACAUCACUCUGAAUUCUCUAAUUGUUCCCUCCUUAUCUGAGAUUCGUCUCAUGCUUUCCACCCAUGGGUGUGGUGAUCUACAUCCCCCAUAGACGCAAAGACUAACUCCUUCACCCAAAACUAGGUUUUGUUAAAGAAAAUCCCUUUAGGCAGAACUGCUAAAGCUAAAGAAGAAAUAGAAGUAUUAGCACUGACCAUUAAUACAGUCCUUUUCUCUCUAUAGAUCUCACAAAGCUUCACAAAGAGAAGUAAAUGUUUCCAUCUGCAUUUUACAGGUACACAAAGAGGGGAAGAGUACAUCUGGACCAAGACAAAUCUGAUACAGAGUCAUAGAGGUUUGGGGUAUUCAUCGGGUUUGAGGACGCUUCUUUAAAUGAUUAUACUUAUCAUAAGGGUGAUAUAGCUGGGGAGAGCUACCAUGGUUAUCAUGAUUUUCCUUUCUCCUGUAUGCUCAACAUUUUUUGUGAGUUUUGUCUUAAAUACAUGCAUCUGAUAACUUGAAUUAAUUGUUAUUCGUGGUGUGAACCUCAAAAUUUCUGUCCAGUUUAACUCUAUCAGCGCUACCUAUCCCACUCUCCAAAGAUAUCCAAUAUUUCUUUCCAUGAAAACACCUUGGAGCAGAAUAGAUUUAAGUAGUGUGUUGGGGGAGAAAAUUAGGUUGGGAUACCAGAUAUUGGGUUGCCAAGUGCUGUGAAGCACUCACUGGAAGAAGCAGUAUGAGAUGUCCUUGAGAACUUCAAGGAAGCAAAGGCUGCCUGUCUUCAUGGCAGUAAUCCUGUCUGAGAAAAAUGACACUGGAGUUAAAAUUGUACGUGACACUUUCAUUCUUGGUCUUCCUCUUCACCCCUCAAAUUUCUGCUGCUGUAUAUUAAGUACCCCCCUUGUGAAGUUAAAGUAGCUCAUAAAAGUGUUAAGUAAAAAGUCAAAACUUACAUGGGAACUGUUACAUUUUCUCUGUGUGGCCAUAAUGAGGUUAUUUAUGGUACAUGUAGGAAAGAUUAAAGGUUUUCAUAAUAAAGGAAAGCAAGAGCUCA
rnacentral:lncRNA from 1 species